CCACGUCGCGACUCUCGCUUGUUCUAGAAGUUUCGGGGACGAACAAGAUUGGACGUGCCUCUCGUAGACUCCGAAUGACACACAUCAGUGAUGAAUGCGUUGAGUAUAUCUCACUGCCCUCGUGUCGAGAAUUUUAUCGAGCUACGGAUUUAUAUUUUGAUGUAAUUGCGAUAAUGACUCUAUUACAUUUAUUUUUUCGUAGUAUUAGCGUAAAUAUCUGAUGAAUUCUCGCGAUACCCGACGACAACGGUUUCGUCAAUUGAGAAUCCCUCUCCGCAAUCUCGAUUUUCCGAAGACAGUACGAUCUGAAUUAUGGUCUUCAGUAUAAUAGAAGCGAAGGGCGAAAAAUGAGAGAUGCUCCAUUUUCAGAAAUAUCUCAGUUUCUUUACGACUGAAUUAAACUCAGGUUCCGUCCUGAUAGAUCCCUGAACGGACGUUCCUGGCGACGUAGCAUGUAUAAUUGCAUAUCGGCAAAUUGUUGUUCAGUUGUAACACGACACGGCGCGACGGGCAAAACCCGGCAAUGACCUAGAACACCAAAAUUGUAAAUAGCUCAUUUGACAGGUCUUUCAUAAUUC